rnacentral:rRNA from 1 species
CUCCCGCCGGACCUGACUGCUAUCGGAUUAAUACUAAGCCAUGCGAGUCUUUGUAGUAAUACAAGGCAUACGGCUCAGUAACACGUGGUCAACUUACCCUAUGGACGAGGAUAAUCUCGGGAAACUGAGGAUAAUACUCGAUAGAUCAUAAUGCCUGGAAUGGUUUAUGGUUGAAAUGAUUCGUCGCCAUAGGAUGGGACUGCGGCCUAUCAGCUUGUUGGUGAGGUAAUGGCCCACCAAGGCGAUUACAGGUACGGGCUCUGAGAGGAGAAGCCCGGAGAUGGGUACUGAGACAAGGACCCAGGCCCUAUGGGGCGCAGCAGGCGAGAAAACUUUGCAAUGUGCGAAAGCACGACAAGGUUAGUCCGAGUGAUUUCUGCUAAAGAGAUCUUUUGCAAGUCAUAAAACCACUAGUGAAUAAGGGGUGGGCAAGUUCUGGUGUCAGCC